UACGUAGGGGGCUAGCGUUGUCCGGAAUCAUUGGGCGUAAAGCGCGCGUAGGCGGCCAGAUAAGUCCGGUGUGAAAGUCACAGGCUCAACCUGUGAAUGCCGCUGGAAACUGUCUGGCUUGAGUCCGGAAGGGGCGAGUGGAAUUCCUGGUGUAGCGGUGAAAUGCGCAGAUAUCAGGAGGAACACCAAUUGCGAAGGCAGCUCGCUGGGACGUUACUGACGCUGAGACGCGAAAGCGUGGGGAGCAAACAGG
rnacentral:rRNA from 1 species